UACGUAGGAGGCGAGCGUUUGUCCGGAAUUACUGGGCGUAAAGCGUGCGCAGGCGGUUUGCUAAGAGAGAUGUGAAAUCCCCGGGCUUAACCUGGGAACUGCGUUUCUAACUGGCAGGCUUGAGUGGGGGAAGAGGGUCGUGGAAUUCCCAGUGUAGAGGUGAAAUUCGUAGAUAUUGGGGAAGAACACCGGUGGCGAAGGCGGCGACCUGGUCCGGGACUGACGCGAGGCGCGAAAGCGUGGGGAGCAAACGGAUUGAGAUACC
rnacentral:rRNA from 1 species